rnacentral:tRNA from 3 species
GGAAGCGUGGCAGAGCGGCCGAUUGCAUCCGCCUUGAAAGCGGACGUCACGAGAGUGACCGGGGGUUCGAAUCCCCCCGCUUCCG